rnacentral:rRNA from 1 species
UACGUAGGGGGCAAGCGUUGUCCGGAAUUAUUGGGCGUAAAGCGCGCGCAGGCGGCUAUUUAAGUCUGGUGUUUAAACCUUGGGCUCAACCUGAGGUCGCACUGGAAACUGGGUGGCUUGAGUACAGAAGAGGAAAGUGGAAUUCCACGUGUAGCGGUGAAAUGCGUAGAUAUGUGGAGGAACACCAGUGGCGAAGGCGACUUUCUGGGCUGUAACUGACGCUGAGGCGCGAAAGCGUGGGGAGCAAACAGGAUUAGAUACCCUGGUAGUCCACGCCGUAAACGAUGAGUGCUAGGUGUUAGGGGUUUCGAUACCCUUGGUGCCGAAGUUAACACAGUAAGCACUCCGCCUGGGGAGUACGGUCGCAAGACUGAA